AUGUGUGGAUAUAAAAAAAGCCUUUCUGAUAACUUUAUUCUGGAUUCAGUUAAUCAGAGAGAGGAAGAGAACAAGAGCUUAAUAAAUAAGCAAAAUUUAUUUUUGAUUUCUUCCUUCUUCAGUUUCUUAAAACAAAAAUAUAGUAUGACCCCUUCUCAAUGGAUUAAACAUUCACAGUUUCACUUACUCAUGCCCCAAAAGAUAUUACCUCCUGGAAGUGUCUGUGGAUCUCUCUAGGUCCUCCAGUGUUAUUCUAUGUUAUGCUUCUGGCCCAAGUAUGGUCAAAUCACAGUGUUCCCAAUUAUCCAUGGUUUCAGGUAUCCAUGGGGGUGUGUAUCUUGGAACGUAUACCCUACAGAUGCAGGUGUCAUAUUGUAAGCUGUAACCAAGGUGGCGGUGGAUGAUGGUGUUAUGUUUUAUCCUAGAUUAAGACCAUGCAGUGUUAAGAUCUAAAGUUUGGGAAUCCAGAUAUUCUUAUGUCCAAAAUAUCCAAAAAAAAUAGCAGCUUAGUUCCAGUCACAGACAAACCAGAAAGGCUGUGGCAUUCCUAGUUAAAGUGUCGAGUCACUACAUGCUCAAAAUUCCUAGUUAGGAUUGAAGGCUUGUGUUUUCUGAGGCAUGUUCAUAUGUAUGAUUCUAAAGAUACUAAAUUCUUUACACAUUUAUUUGUUAAUGUUUCUUUUCAGUCACUAGUGGUGGACAAAGUGAUAUGAGGUAUUUUCUCAUUUUCUAGUUGUUCUUGUUCAAAUUUAUAGAAAAUCAGUUUUGAAAUAUAAUAAAUAAAUAAAAUAUAAAAAGAUACAGAAAAUGGUAGUAAAAUGUCAAUGGCUGGGGAACAGGACUCUUUCAAUAAUCAUGAUGAUCAUCAUCAUCAUCUGCAAAAGGCCACCCUACUGGGAUCUGCACACAUCAGCCAAAAAUACAUCACAUAGUCCUAAACACUUGGGACGUGUUCGACUUGUGAUUUUGUGAUAUAAAAUCCAGCAUGUCUAUCUUGUUUGCUGUGUCAUACUGUGUCAUCGUGUCAAUAAUAAUAAUAAGUUUAUUUUUAUAUCCCGCCCCAUCUCCCCGAAGGGACUCGGGGCGGCUCUCAUGGGGCCAAGCCCAACAAUAUACAAUAAACACCUCCAAGGUCAUGUGGCCGGCAUGACUGCAUGGCGUGCCGUUACCUUCCCACCAGAGUGGUACCUAUUGAUCUACUCACAUUUGCAUGUUUUUGAUCUGCUAGGUUGGCAGAAGCUGGGGCUAACAGUGGGAGCUCAUCCCACUCCCUGGAUUCGAACCUCUGACCUUUUGGUCAGCAAGUUCAGCAGCUCAGCAGUUUAACCCAAUGUGCCACCAGGGGCUCCUAUUUAACUCUCCCCAAAAAUGGAUAGAAGCAAAUUAUUUUUCUCCCGUGUCCCUGGGUUAAAAAAGGUGGCUGUUGACCAGGUACAUGUGCUGCAGAAGUAAUAAAUAAACAUUCUUUCAUUAUCUUAAAAUUUAAAUUGUUUUAAAGUGGGCUGGUGGCAUUUAAUUAGGUAAUACACCAUGUCACUUGCUUUCCUUCAUUUGAACAAUACUGGCUACCUCACAUAACAGGGGCAUUUUUUAAUUUUUAAACUGGGACAGAUGUAUAAAGAUAUAGACUGUGAAAUCUAUAGAACAAAAUGAUGUUCUCUUCCACCUUUUACAAUGCUGAUAUUAUACACCAUUUCUCAACAUUCAGAAUUUUUCUCUCUUCUUCAGUGACCAAGUAUUUUAUGAAUAAGUGAUGUCCUGCUAGUCAACAUGAUGAAUGCUGGCACAUGGAGAGAAUAGUUAAAUAAUUUGUUUUAACGGUUAUGCAUUUAAAUUGUUCCAUUAGAGACAUGAUUUUCCUUUUGCUAUCAAUAAAAAAUCUGUUUUUUGAGGCAGAAGGUGUCUGCUUGAGGAAGUAACUUUUGUUAACUUGCAAUAUGUUGGCUUAAGUUAUUAGUAGCUUAAUAGAGCAGUCCAGCAUUUUCUCGCAGUCAUUCUUUUCUCAUAUAAAUGUGUGUGUAUGUAUGUAAGUCAAGUUCUUUUUAGUAUUGCAAGACAAAUUUUGAAGGUCAUCUUAAAGACAUCAGAAUCUACUUUACUAACUGCUAAAUAAAUGUUGCCAUGGUAAUAUUAGCAGUCAUAAAUGGUGGCAAUAAAUAUUUCAUCCUCAGUGUAUAACUUGGUAAUAACUUUGGCAAGCUGAGAUAAUUUUGAAUUAAUAAUUCUAGAAGUAAGUUUGAGCAAUAUAUGUUGGUUGCACUGCUGGUACCCAGGAGUGAUAGAAGGUAGAGAAGCUAUGGAUUUCUAAUGGUGUUUAGCUCACUUACUCUAAUGUUUUAUUCAUGAUUCUUCUGAGGAUGUUACAGGAGGCUUUCAAAGAAGCAGAGAGGAAAAACAGUUACACGUUGAUUCUAGGUUAUAGUAACAAAAAGUGAGGUGUUUGUGCACAAUUAAGUAUUCUCAAAAGCCUUGGAUAGCAAUGGCCAGGUAAGAACAAAACAGAGGCAGAUUCAAGCUUUUUUGUUUCAUUAUUCAUGCUGGGUCUCUCCAAAUAGGUUCAGCACCUUGGAUAGUUCUGCUGAAAUGCUCCUGUAUAAACAGGGCAUAUAAUAAUAAUAAUAAUAAUAAUAAUAAUAAUAAUAAUAAUAAUAAUAAUAAAACUUUAUUUAUACCCCGCCACCAUCUCCCCAAUGGGGACUCGGGGCGGCUAACAUGGGGCCAUGCCCAGAGCAGUACAAUAUAAUAAAAUAUAAAAACAACAUAUCAUAGCACCAUUCAAAAUACAAUAAAUAAUAAUAAACAAAACAUCAAGAAAUCAAAAAACAAUAAAACAAGGGCAGGCCACAUGAACCCAGAGAUAAAACCCGAAGUGAGAGGGACAGAGGGGUACUCCACUAUGGGCAGGGACAUUUGGAAGUGGGGUAAUCUAGAGGAUAGACUCAUCACUCAAAAAUAACGAAGGCACUGACCACCCAUCUUGUCAAAUCUGCAAAACUAGAUUUCAAGAUAACUUAGGUUUACAACUAUAACAGUAUAAAAGGGCACUCAAUGUUCCUGGUUUUAGGGUGCAUCUACACUGGCAACCACAUUAACUGCCAUGGCUCUUGUAAAACUACACUUCCCAUGAACUCAUCACGCUCAGGCAUAGUAGUUAAAAUGGUAUCAAAUUGCAUUAAUUCUACAGUGUAAAUGUACCCUAAAUCAACCAUUCUAGAAUCCUAGUAUUUUCUGCUUUUUCAAUACUGAAAGCUUACACUAAAUAACUGUAUGUUUGAUAGAGACAGCAAGAUUAUAAUUGCAUUACUAAAAUGAUCUAUAUAGAAAUAAUUUUUUUUUUUUGAAAUAAACCUGUCUUCCUUCAUCUGAGCCAACAUGUUUUUCAAUCCACACUACACUUUCUGGUCAGUCUUAUUUGGAUUUUUUUUUCUGUUGGCCCAAUUCAUAUCCUUCCCUCAUUUCCCACGGUUGUUUAUCCUUGGUGGUGUUAGUGGCAAAGUCAUCUUGAGAUUUUUUAUGUAUGUACAAUUAUUCCAAACUGUGGGAAAAAAUCAAAAACAUAAUUUUUCUGCUCCCAAGCAUUUUGGAUAAGGGAUAUUCAACAUGCAGAUAUCACAUAUGCUUACUUUGUGCAAAUAACGGACUUAUAAAUGACUCAUAGUUAAGAAUGAUGGUGAGACCCCAGGAAAUGAGAGAAAUUACCCCUAGGAACAAAAAUUCACUUUUCAAAGAGUUAUCAUUGGGAAAAAGUAUCUGAAGCUUUCUCACCAGUCCUUCUUUCCACAACAAGCCAAAUUUUUCAAAAUCCAAUUAUCACAGGAGCAGAAAGUGAGAUCAAAAUUUCUGAACAAGGGGACAGGCAGCAAAGCGGACAUCACAGGAGUGUUAACCUUUCCCUGUUCUAUCCAAAGCUAAAAAAAUUACACUUAAAAAUGUAGCUGUUCUGAUUUACAUACAAAUUAAACUAAAGAACAUACCUACAGAACCAAUCUUGUUCAUAACUUGGGAACUGCCUGCAUAGAGAAAUCUGACUGCUUUCAACUAAUUCACAGGACAAUUAUAGAUUUACAGAAUUCUGUUUCAAGGUUAGGUGCUCAAAACUAUAAAAAAUGAUGAUGUUACACAUGAAUGAGCAAUACAUUAACUGGAGCGUCUGUCCAAGCAAGUUCUGAAACACACACACACACACACACACACACACACACACACACACGAUGUCUUCAGAAAUAUGGCAGACAAUUUUUUCAUCAAGAUGCAAGAUGAGUCUGGGACUAAUAUGAAGGAGGACUAGAAGAAUUAAAAGAUUAGGAACUUUAGAACAGUUAGAGCAUACAUGUCAAUUGCAAACCGAUA
ensembl:lncRNA